CCUCUCCUGCGCACCGGCCAAUCCCGUCCCUGUUGCCGAGCUUUGGCUGGCUAACUGACGUUGCUCUGGCGACGGCAAGAACGUUGGGCGCUCACAAAACACACCGACGUCAGCGCGUAGUAACCACGGAAACGAGCCCCGCAACGUCAUCGCUCUUUCUCCCUUCCCCUUCAGAAAUCGUUAGCCACGCAGGCGGCGGCGUCACCCGCUGAGGGGAGGAGGAGGAGGAGGCUCCCGGUUGUCAUAGCAGCUCAGGGAGGUGGGGCUCCGUCGCCAAAGCAGCAGGGAAGGUAGGGCUCGGUUGCCAUGGCAGCGGGAAGGUCUGUUUUGUUUUGGGGUGGAGCUGUAAUUAGAAAGCGAGGACUGAGGGCGGCGAGGUGCCGGCGGCCCCACAGCGAGAGACCGAGAGGGAAGCUGGUUUGUUUUGAUUUCUGAGAUCCCGGGGGCUUUGGUGUCUCGAAGUGACGCUCCGGGAGCGACUGGUGGGGGUUGAAACCGGGAUUCCCUCUUAUAAUAAUUAAGAAUAAUUUAUUAUUUAUACCCCGCUCAUCUAGCUGAGUUUCCCCAGCCACUCUGGGCGGCUCCCAAUCGAGUGUUAAAAACAAUACAACGUGUGCGAAUGAUGUCCGCCUCACAAUAUUCGGAGAUCUGGACCAGAGGUCGAUCCCGGCAAACGUUCGUUGUGGGGACGGACAGGGGGCGGAUCCUGUCGUGUCUGCCUCAAGCGGCGAAACGUGAGGAAGCGCACUCGCGCUGUCUGCAGCACACGCACCAAAAGGGAAACCCAAGUCUGACGCACCGAUCAACAACAACCCCCGCGGCACUCGACUCAAGCCUUUUCUGCUCUUUCUUACGUAACGCAAGCCGUGAUCCCUGCAUCCCCCCUUUAAUAAAAAGAUAAAGCAAAUCGUAUCUAUAAAAAUAAGAGAGAAAUAAAGCCGGCUUGAGCAUUUGUCCCAACUGACAAAAUAAUUAGUAGUCAUGUUGAUUAUUAUUAUUUUUCAAAUGUUGUUUAGUUUCAGAUGUUGGUGGAUAUCCAGCGGUCAGGUGUGAUGGGAGCUGGAGUCCAGCAAUAUCUCACUGCAAUGGCAGCUUAUCUGAUAUUUCUGUUAUAUUCCAUUUAAUAUAUUUAGUCUAUGUGUAUGAAGAGGAUGUAUACAAAUGUUAACAUCUGCAUUGCUUUGCUUGAAUACAUAGCCAUCGGUCAGUUCAUCUCAGCUUAGUUCUGAACUGAACCAGCAGUUUAAAGUGUUAUCAAAGAAUACUGGGUCUGGGUAUGGGGGAGAGACACCGUCCAAGUGUUUUAUAUUCUAUAUUCUCACACGGCUGCUUUGGAAUUGUGGUAUGGCAAAUCCAUGAGCCAAGGUAGUUUUGUUUUUAACAGACUCAAGAAUUGCUUUAAAAUUUACUCACUAUAUGGCCUUGGAGCAUACAUACCUAUUUUACACACACCCUGCUGAAAAUUCCUGGUUAAAUCAAUGGUUCAGAGUCAAUGUAUUAUUCUAUAAAUUACAAACUCAGUUUCAGCAAUCAGCAAUUCAGCAAUAGAGAGUAAGAGGUUAAAGCAGCCAAUUUCUGAGCAUGUUUCAAUGGCAGCAGCCAGUAUGGUGUGUCUAUUGACAUAUUCAGCACAAUUAAAAAGCAGUAUUAAAUUAUUAUUUGUAACAAAGCGCUCUUUGUUACUUUGCCAUAUUUAUAUAGCUGAGAUAUAUCUACCCGUCAGUUCUGCUGCCUGCCUGUUUAAGAAAUACCAAACAGUCAAAGCUGGACCUAUGAAAAAUUAUCACGUCACCCUCUUGGUUUGUAUAAUGUUUUGGUUUUCUAAUGGCCUUUGUCUAAUCAACACUGCAGAGCACAGUAGUUAAAAUCCCAGUGAACAUUUUUAUUUACUAUGAUUAUAUCUGUAAACUCCACAAUAAUUGUGUUAGCUUCAGCACUCCAGUCCUUACAGUUGAUGAUAAUCUUGAAAUCCGAGAUUUGCUUCAAAUAAGCUUCUAGCCCUCAUGAGUGUGGAUAAAUGCUUCAGAAAUAGACCUUGGAAAAAAGAUUAUAUAGCAGGUGGCAAAUAAUAUGAGUGUAUAUUCAUUAUUUCUACAAUAUCAUUCCUUUUUAACUCAGAACUUUGGAUUUUAAAGGGCUGACUCAUGAUGAUAUUUGAAUUAGAGUUAAAUUUACUGGUCUGAUUACGGAAGACCCACCUACAAGUAAUUCCCAGGAAUACUAGGAUGGCGUUUCCAAAUGCUGUUGUAAAUAUACUUAGACAUUUAUGACAAUUGAUAAACUAGUGACUGAAUACUGUCUGUUGGGAAGGGAGAUAACAUCGGUUUUGAAGUACAGGCAUCUGGGCACUGGCCCAGUUUUGGUAAUUCUCUGCACCAUAUGCCUGCUUGAACUGUCAAAUGCCACUGCAUUCUCUCAGAUUGCAGUUGUAAUUGUUGCUUUAAGUUUUUCUUUAUCUCUAUAUCCUCUGCCUGCUAAAAGACUGCAGGGUCAGUUCAGACUUGUUCUUGCACCACACCUAUCUGCUAAUAAGUAGUAUAGUACUUACAUAUGGGGAUUCCCUCACCCUGAACCUGGGGUGGGGUGGGAAUUAACAGCAAUUUCUCACGGCAAUCUAUGAACUCCCUUUCAUCAUAAUGAAUAUGUUACAAAACUAUAGUCUGUAAGAUGCAUGUCCUCAGGAGAGUGACGUAGAAGGUUAGGCAGCAAUUCUGAAAUAGUGAUUUCAGAAUCACUGUAAAAAAGAGGAAGUGAUUGUUGACAUAGGGAAAUACAAUCUUGAACACUAGCUUGGGGUGUGUGUGAACUCUGCUGAACUCCAUUGUACGUACUUCUAAGCAAACAUGGGUAGGAUCAGGCUGCACUUUUAAUCGAAUGCGGGUCUGAACAUCUGACAUUAGUCCCUCUCUUAUGCAAAGGGUAGAAAUUACUGAUUGAUUGUCCUAUCUUAUUCUGGACAAGCCUGGGCUUGUUACCUUACUCUGCAGUUCUCUUUCCUCCAUUGGCAAUGCAAAUGCUCCUUAAUAAAUAAAUAAAUAUUUCUCUCAGCUAUCACUUCCAUCCUUUUUGAAGAAGGUUACCAGAAAUAUUUUAGGGACUGUAUUCUGGGUAUAGUUUAAAUCCAGAAGUACAGGUACACAAUUGUGCAUUCUGAGCAGAAUUAGAGAAGUAUCCAGCCUUAGAAAAAGGAUUGCCUAUUAAAUGUUCCAAAAUAUUAGAUAUGCACCUAAACACAUUAUGGCCAGUUUAUUUCUUUGGACCCACAGCUUGCCCUAUCCUAAAGUUUUUGGGAAGGUAGCAAUACUUAAAAACAAAAGCCAUUAGCAGAAUACAGACAGCUGGGUAAAAUCUCGUCUCUUAUCCUAAUGUAGUAUGAUAUCAUAUACUAUCCCACCAACUUCUACUCAUCGUUUCUCACUGGGUAGAACCCAUUCAUCUCUCCCUACUGAGGUGUCACUUUUCUUUUUAUUACUGCUCCCUGCUGUUGUGCUUUUAAUCUGCAGAUAUUAACAGGUGGUAACACUUAGGUCAAUGCUGUUAAAAACUUUACCAGGCAAUGUCUAUAAAUUUUUGCUAAAGUCAUGAAAGUAGGCCAGGCUGAUUUGUUUCCAGUCAAAUGUCUUCUCUUACGUGUUUUUGUUCUGUUCUAGAUUACAGAUUAUUAGCUAUAGUGUUUAUUAGCUAACCCUAGCUCCAUAUGAAAUUCCAAGCUCCUAGAGUUUCAUGUGUUUGUUUUCAGACUUUAAAUCUCUUCUCACAGAGGGUUCCCAUAAGGCAAAUAUGUGACAGUCACUUAUUUAUGCAGUAUGCUGUAUAUUGUCCAACAUCCCCAGUCAUCUAGUUUGUUAAUCUUGUUCAUCAGUGGAUUUAAGCAUGUACUGGAGCAGACAGUGAAUUACUCAUAUGACAUCACUAUUAUCUCCUUGCGUAAUUCCUAAUCUUUUCCCAGACUUGCUAAAUAUCUGGCGUUUUGCUGGUUCAGUCAGGUAGAAACAACCAAUGGUGGUAAAAAUAAAUAUUUCUCAUUUGGUGUAUGAUACAAUUGAUCUUACAGCAAUGAACUCAUGAUGUACCUAGGCUUUCAGAGAUGGUAUGUGGACUUGGAAAAAUCAAAGGUAGCCAUGCUGGCCCUACCAUUAGACAAAGUGAGGAGGCUGUCUUAGGCAGAAGGUGUUCAAGGGCAGGGAGCAGCAAAGGAAGAUACAGUGGUGCCUCGCAAGACGAAAUUAAUUCGUUCCGCGAGUUUUUUCGUCUAGCUAAUUUUUCAUCUUGCGAAGCACGAAAUCCCAUAGGAAUGCAUUGAAAUUCAAUUAAUGCGUUCCUAUGGUCAAAAAAAGUCCAAACAAAGCCAAAUUUGGUACAACAAGAGUUUAUUAAGUGCUCUUUAAAGUCACACAUACUGUAAAGAGCAUUUCAAAAACUGAAGGAACAAUAAAUUAAGUUUCUAAACAUGACAGAAAAACUUUUUUUAAAAAAAACAACAACAUGGCCCAAUGGUCACAGAAAAUCAUAAAAAUUCCAAAAAAACCCCACACAAGCUCCCAGAUUCUUGCAAACCCCUCCUCAACUGUUCCCCCAGCCACCCACCACACAGAAAUUCAAACCCAGAAUUUUUUUUAAAAAAAACAGCAGAGUGGCCCAAUGGUCACAGAAAAUCAUAAAAAUUCAAAAAAAAAACCCACACAAGCUCCCAGAUUCUUGCAAACCCCUCC
rnacentral:lncRNA from 1 species